rnacentral:ncRNA from 2 species
CUCUUAUUCAGAGUGGUGGAGGUACAGAGGACCUGUGAAGCCACGGCAACCCCUUUUGAUGGAAGGUGCCUGCCUGAGCGAGAAAUCGAACAAUAAGAG